AAUUCAGGAGACACUAUUAUAUAGAAUGUACAUAUGUAUAUAUAUAUAACGCAUUAUCUUUUAUGAAUUAUAGUAAAUAGUAAUUCAAUAAGUAAGUUCCCGCAGUUGGAACUUAUAAAAUUGGGCAAUUUAACAGAUAUCGGCGUAGAGCACAUUAUAUUACAUGAAAAAGUAAGGAAGCUGAAAAUUAAAGCUAGUUCAUUAAUUUUCGAAAAACCGAUUCGUAAAUCAUCACGAUAAUACAUCAUGUUCUGGAUUACGAAAUUACCUGAUAUAUUGAUGGUUCAGUGACGAAGAAAGCAGCUGGGGUUGAAGGCCUUGGACCUGAGAUAAGAAACUCAGAAUCAAUGUUAUUACCUUUCAAGCAAAUAUAAACACUAUAAACAGCCAAGCAUCCAACAAGACACUUAAGUCUCAACAAAAAACAACAAAACUGGUCUUUAAGUAUGUAUUUGAAAAAGCUGAAUAUACUAGCGCGAAUCAGUCAAGAAUGAUUUGCGUUGAUUCUAGGGUUCAUUGGGAUUGCCCAGAACCGUUCCUGUUCAUUAAAAAGUUUAACCUUUAAAAGAGAAGAGAUAAAAGGGAAGAGAUAAAAUAAAAAGAAUUACAUGGGGAAAAUCGGCCAGCUUAAUUACAGGGACCAACAGCUUUGAACCAUUAUUCAAAUAAACUGGUAAUCAUUUCCGAUGGUAUUCGAGAGGUCUGUAAAGCGGUGAAGCGGACCACCGAGUACGUGGUGAUGACUUGAUCUGCACUAAUCUGUAAAUUAAAAAAGAUCUUUUAGAGUUAAACAAAUACUUCUACACCUCUUAGUGACAGCAUUUAGUAAGUCAGUUGUGGUACAAGUAUGGUGCGGAACAAAUGGGGGCUUGAAUAAAUAUUUCAAUUCGAUAUACAAAAUAUCUUACAUUAAAGUACUGCUUGUAAUAUUAUUUCAA